UACAGAGACUGCAAGCGUUAUUCGGAUUCACUGGGCGUAAAGGGUGCGCAGGCGGCCAAGUGUGUGAGGUGUGAAAGCCCGGGGCUUAACCCCGGAAUUGCACCUCAAACUACUUGGCUAGAGCAUUGGAGAGGGUAGCAGAAUUCACGGUGUAGCAGUGAAAUGCGUAGAUAUCGUGAGGAACACCAGAGGCGAAGGCGGCUACCUGGACAAUUGCUGACGCUCAGGCACGAAAGCGUGGGGAGCAAAAGGG
rnacentral:rRNA from 1 species